UGACCCUCGUAUCAUUAGGAUUUUGGUUCCAUGAUGAUAGGUAAGGUUUUGAAAUUUAAUGUCCUCUUCUCCUUUUCAGGUCCCUGAGUUGGUUAAUGUUGAUUUUGCUCAGGCACGGUCCAUCUUAGGGAUCAACGAGAGGUGGCUCAAGCGAUACGGGAUGGCGGCGAGCAGCGGCGACCGCAGCGGACGGUGCAGCAGACUGGACAUGCUUUAGAAAUCACGGUCAAGACAACACGUCUUGGGGAGUGGUGCGCCUGUCAAGCGACAGCGUCUGAUUCCUACACAACAAGGACUGUCACUCAAGUCUUAGGAUUUGACAACAUUAUUUCUGGCUGUUAGAUUGUACAACAUAUUUGUUAUGGAUUGUGACAUCCACAUAAUACUGGAUUCAGCCAGAGAAGGCGGGGAUCCAUGGAUGCCAGUGAGGGAAGCAGCUUGGCUCGGGCCAACCAUGGUGCUAGCGUUGCAACUCGCCGCCAUCCUCCUUCGUCUCCCAUCCACAGCUGGCUCCAACCCCUCCUCUGAUGUGGUGCUAUGAGAGCAAGAAAAAGAGCAGACAUGCUCUGUAUCUACAUCCAGCGUCCACACAGCCAGAUAAUGGUACUGCUCUGAAUAAUUCUCUUUUUGUUUAGAGCUACGGUGAUGCAUGUAACUAUGUUAUCUUAAAUUAUCUGCUUGUGUUAAUUGAAAAAAUUAUGUUCCUUGCUUACAUUUUCAAUGCAAACUUGUUGGUGGUUUGUCCAUUCUGCUGUUUGAAAAUUCAAAGCACUCCAUAUUAAUGCAUUCUCUAUCUUCUGAUGUGUCGGCUAUUAAACUAAGCAACGACAUAUGUACUACACAUGCUUCUGGCAUAGCGUGAUUAAAACAUAGGUUAAUGCCGUACUUUUGUUUGGAAGAUUAGUCCUGCUAUUUUUUAGCGAUUGUAAGUAUUGGGGGCAUGCUUGGAUAAUUUCCUGGUGUGUUUUGUAUUGUUCUGACUAUGCUUGUAUCUAAACGGGUUGUCUAUUGUUCUGACCGAUACAUGUAUUUUGUAUAACGACUGACUGUAAGAGUUACAUAUGGCUACUUUAAUCAAUUUUAAGAGUUACAUAUAUGCUUUUACAGUUUUUUAUGUGUUCAUAGAAUAGAUAACUUAGCUUCUUAUGCAGUGAAAUAACAUUGAACCUCUUUCUGCAUGAUACUGGCAUCCACGGUUUGUAUGUAUUGUUAUGUACUUGAGUGCACCAGCGGAUAUAUGUUUGUCGACUAUUUUGUGCUUAUGGUGAACUCUUGUGAGUGAAUAUUUCGACCUUGAUAUAUCAUCUGUUAAUUGCUUUAUAACUAUUUUACUCUAGGCCUCUAAUCCUCCCACCAGAAAAUGACUAGCUGAGCCGCAUCAAUGUGUGACUGCAAGAACCUUUGAAUUGCCCCAACUUCUAACCCUUUGACCCUUU